rnacentral:ribozyme from 16 species
AAAAAAUGGGGAAAAUGGGAUUGUCAAGAAUGGGUAUUUCGUUCCAUUUUCUCCCAUUUUUCUCUCAUUUUUCUCCCAUUUUUCUCCCAGUC